rnacentral:lncRNA from 1 species
UCUCUCAUAGGCAGCCUCCAUAUCAGCUUUCUCCUUUGCAAGUUGAUCAUACUUCCUUUUCCAGAAUUUGGAUGACUGAGGAAGCAGAGAAGUCCAAGUGUCGUUCGGAUCGUCGAUCACUCGGUGCUCGAGAAAUUCAAUCAUAUCAUCUUUCUCCUUGAGCUGCUGCAGCAAUUCCUCUCUCUCGCGGAUCCAGGCACGCGAAAG